AAAAUUUUAAGAAUGACAUGGCAGAAUAAUCACCCUUAGAUUUUAUCAAGAAAUAGUCUUGAAAUUAAUGUUAGCCAAUAAAAUCUCAGCCGAAAAUCAUAGGGUGGUGGGUGUUAUGUAUUUUUUUUUUAUGAAAGAUUAAUAAAUGAGACUGAAAUCUAAAGGUGAUUAUUGUGCCAUGUCAUUCUUGAAUAUUU
rnacentral:pre_miRNA from 1 species